CAGAGGUCCCGAGCGUUGUUCGGAUUCACUGGGCGUAAAGGGUGCGUAGGUGGUGGGGUAAGUCGGAUGUGAAAUCUCCGGGCUCAACCCGGAAACUGCAUUGGAAACUACCUUGCCAGAGGUUUUGAGGGGGGACUGGAAUUCUCGGUGUAGCAGUGAAAUGCGUAGAUAUCGAGAGGAACACCAGUGGCGAAGGCGAGUCCCUGGAAAACACCUGACACUGAGGCACGAAAGCUAGGGGAGCAAACAGGAUUAGAUACCCUGGUAGUCCUAGCCCUAAACGGUGCUUGCUUGCUGUAAGUGGAAUCGACCCCACUUGUGGCGGAGCUAACGCGUUAAGCAAGCCGCCUGGGAAGUACGGUCGCAAGAUUA
rnacentral:rRNA from 1 species